rnacentral:lncRNA from 1 species
CCCGGCCGGGGUAGCUCUUCACUCCUCAGCGCGACGUCGUGUCGAGUUCCCAAAAAGCUCCGCAGGGGCUGUAGGGAGGCAUACAAGAAUUAAAUUCUGAAUAAGUCUGCAGGUAGGAUGGACAGUUAUUUUAAAGCAGCUGUCAGUGACUUGGACAAACUCCUUGAUGAUUUUGAACAGAACCCAGAUGGGGUCUCACUGUGUUGCUCAGGCUGGUCUUGAACUCCUGAUCUCAAGUUAUCCUCCGACCGUGGCUUCCCAAAGCGCUGGGAUUACAGUUAUGAACAAGAUUAUCUCCAAGAUGUACAAAAUGCAUAUGAUUCUAACCACUGCUCAGUUUCUUCAGAGUUGGCUUCCUCACAGCGAACUUCAUUGCUCCCAAAAGACCAAGAGUGCGUUAAUAGUUGUGCCUCAUCAGAAACAAGCUAUGGAACAAAUGAGAGUUCCCUGAAUGAAAAAACACUCAAGGGACUUACUUCUAUACAAAAUGAAAAAAAUGUAACAGGACUUGAUCUUCUUUCUUCUGUGGAUGGUGGUACUUCAGAUGAAAUCCAGCCGUUAUAUAUGGGACGAUGUAGUAAACCUAUCUGUGAUCUGAUAAGUGACAUGGGUAACUUAGUUCAUGCAACCAAUAGUGAAGAAGAUAUUAAAAAAUUAUUGCCAGAUGAUUUUAAGUCUAAUGCA